rnacentral:lncRNA from 1 species
CACCGGUACCUCCUUUUAUGACAGAUCCUCCUAAAGUGAAAGGGGCUCGUGGGCCAAGAUGUGAGAGGGGUUCAGGUUGUACUUUCGUAGCAUGGACACAUGAAACACAUUAUGGACCCUGGAUAGUUCUUGAGGCAGUGCCAGUCUGUAGGCGGCAGUGCCAAUUUUGUCUAAGAUUUCAAAUAGCCCAAUAAAUCGAAGAUUUUAUUUCCCCCUCUUGCCAAAUUUACUGAUUCAUUUGAAAUGAGUGACCUUAAGGAACACUCGAUCAAUUUCUCAAAUUCCAAAUCCCUCAUCCGGGUAUCCGCAUAACUCUUUUGUCUGCUCUGAGCUAUUCGAAUAUUCUUCCUGAUCUUAACUAUUUUGACUAGAGUCUCCUCCACAAGAUCUGAACCAAAUAAUUUUCUAUCACCCACUUUUUCUCAAUAGAUUGGCGAUCUGCAUGGGCAGCCAUAUAACGCCUCGUAUAGAGCCAUGACGAUACUUGUUUGGUAGCUGUUAUUAUAGGCGAACUCUAUUAGGGGUAAAUGAUAUCUCAAUGGCCCUCGAAGUCAAGAACACAAGCUCAGAGCAUAUCCUCCAGUGUGUAGAUUAUCUUCUCUGAUUGUCCAUCAAUCUAAGGGUAGAAUGCUGUAUUAAGGGAUAGUUUCGUUCCCAUGGCUUGCUGAAAACUAGAACAGAAUUGAGAAGUGAACCUAGGGUCCCUGUCGGACAUUACUGUCACUGACACUCUAUGUAACCUGACUAUCUCUCGGAUAUACAUUCUUGCUAGCUUGUCCAAGGGGUCGGU